rnacentral:rRNA from 1 species
AAAAUUGUUGCAGUUAAAACGGUCGUAUUUGGAUAUUACAGAACCCGAUGUUUCAUUUAACCUGGUUUGGGAAAACCAAAUAUAUUAUAUAUUUUGCUUUGUUCAAAAUAAGGUUUUCUAAUAAAUUAUGUUUUUAUGAGAUAUGACAGAAUCUUUUUUAAAAUCUCUUCAAUAUGCUUUUAUUGCUUUUGAGAGGUUUUGUUACUUUGAGUAAAAUUAAGUGGUCAUAACAGACGGGUAGUCAUGAUUGAGUUCCUUGUGUUUGAAUACUACAGCAUGGAAUAACAAAUAUGAAUGAGCUAAUUAUUUUUUUUUUUCAUAAUUUUUUUUGAUAUUCUUAUUAGCUUAGUUACGAUUAAUAGGAGUAGCUUUGGGGGCAUUCGUAUUCAGAUGUCAGAGGUGAAAUUCUAAGAUUUUCUGGAGACGGACUACUGCGAAAGCAUUUGCCUAAUCUAUUUCCAUUAAUCAAGAACGAAAGUUAAGGGAGUGAAGACGAUCAGAUACCGUCGUAAUCUUAACCAUAAACUAUACCGACUAGGUGUUGGAUGAAUAUAAAAAAUAUAUAAAUAUGUAGCAUUUCUUAGGGAAUGUUGAUUUUAUAUUAGAAUUGCUUCCUUCAGUACCUUAUGAGAAAUCAAAGUCUUUGGGUUCUGGGGCGAGUAUUCGCGCAAGCGAGAAAGUUAAAAGAAUUGACGGAAGGGCACCACCAGGCGUGGAGCUUGCGGCUUAAUUUGACUCAACACGGGAAAACUCCCUAGUUUAAGACAAGAGUAGGAUUGACAGAUUAAUAGCUCUUUCUUGAUUUCUUGGAUGGUGAUGCAUCGGCCGUUUUUAGUUCGUGAAUAUGAUUAGUCUGGUUAAUUCCGAUCACCAACGAGAUCUUAACCUGCUAAUUAGCGGUAAGUACACUAUAUUUUUAUUUGAAAUUGAAUAUAGGUAAUUAUACACGUUUAUUCAGUGUUCAAAUUAGGAUAUUUUUUUAUUAAAAUAUUCUUUUCCCUGUUCUACUAUAAUAAUUCGUUUUUUUUUACUCUAUUUCUCUCUUCUUUUAAGAAUGUACUUGUUUGAUUAAAUAAAGCUUCUUAGAGGAACAGUGUGUACAUAACACAAGGGAGUUUAAGGCAACAACAGG